GCCGACGUAGCUCAGUGGUAGAGCAAUGGUUUCGUAAACCAUAGGCCGCCGGUUCAAAUCCGGCCGUCGGCU
rnacentral:tRNA from 2 species